AGUUUUGCGCAGUGGCAGUACUAUAGCCCAUAAGGUUUGUCUGAGGUGCCAUUAUUGCUAAUUGAAAACUUUUCCCAACUUAA
rnacentral:snRNA from 1 species